UUCUGGGUGCAUGCAGAUGAGAAUAGAAUCACUGAAGUCCCUCAGGGAUUUGGAGUCCAGUGUGUGCUGAUGCUGCUCUACCUUGUUGGGUAUGACGUUUUCCAGAGCCUGCAGAUUUUAAAAGCGCUGUUGUUCUGGUCCUGGCAGAUGCUCUAUUGGUGAUGAGACCAUCUCAUAGAGGAGGCAGAGCACCAAGCCUCACCCUUCCUGGGAAGCUCACUGAAUGUCCUUGUGUUCCACAAGGAUGGCAGGAGGUAAAGCCCUGAGUCCAGCCUCUCUCAGGCAGCUCUC
rnacentral:lncRNA from 1 species